GACGAACGCUGGCGGCGUGCCUAAUACAUGCAAGUCGAACGCAGUGGGGACGGGUGAGUAACACGUGGGUAACCUCCCAUCAGAGGGGAUAACACUUGGAAACAGGUGCUAAACCGAUACUGAUGGAUGGACCCGCGGUGCAUUAGCUAGUUGGUGAGGUAACGGCUCACCAAGGCCACGAUGCAUAGGCGAACGUAGAGGGGGAUCGGCCAAACUGGGAAUGGGGCACGGCCCAGACUCCUACGGGAGGCAGGAGUAGGGAAUUGUCGGCAAUGGACGAAAGUCUGACCGAGGAACGCCGCGUGAGUGAAGAAGGUUUUCGGAUCGUAAAACUCUGGUGUUAGAGAAGCGGGAUCUAACCAGAAAGGCACGGCUAACUACGUGCCAGCAGCCGCGGUAAUAC
rnacentral:rRNA from 1 species